ensembl:misc_RNA Metazoa_SRP Metazoan signal recognition particle RNA
GCUGGGUGUGGUAGUGGGCGCCUGUAAUCUCAGCUACUUGGGAGGCUGAGGCUGGAGGAUCACUUGAACCUAGGAGUUCUGGGCUGUAGUGUGCUAUGCUGAUCGGGUGUCUGCACAAGUUUCGGCAUCAAUAUGGUGACCUCUCUGGAGCAGGGGACCACCAGGUUGCCUAAGGAGGGGUGAACCGGCCCAGGUUAGAAAUGGAACAGGUCAAAACUCCCGUGCUGAUCAGUAGUGGGAUGGUGCCUGUGAAUAGCCACUGCACUCCAGCCUGGGCAACGUAGCCAGACCCCGUCUCUG